GUAUAGUUGUACGUGCGAGUUAGUUCUCUAUUUUCAUGUAUAUUUAAUACUGUAAUGUCUUGCAUCAGCACAUAUGCAGUCUAAAUAGUCAAUAAUGAGCAACUCAAGCAAAGCUUUAUUAGGAUUAAAGUUGUUAUUGUUUUAAAAGCUGUGAGUGGUGCAAUAGAAGGCAAAUACAGUUGUUCAUAUCAAUUAUGUAAAAAUAAGAAUACUUUAUAAAGGGCACAUGUACCACAUAAAAGUUUGCAGACACGCAUCACCAAUGAUGUUGUCCAUAGCAACUAGUAAAAUCCCUGUUUUUUUAGUCUACAUUGUAUGUGGCAUCUGUGACAUCGGACAAAUUCAUGAAUGGUUGGCACGAAAUAUUUUAUAGGUUUACACUUUUUCUACAUAGUUUUCAACAUGAUUGUCCUCUAAAUGUACUAAAUAUUUGUAUAUGUUUUCCUGCAUAUUUAAUAAUAUGCAUUUUUAGUUCACAAGUAGGAAACAACUCACAACUAAUCCUUUGCUUUUAAACUGAUAAGCAGUAAAUGUUACAUACUGUUUGAUUGCAACCUUAUAUAGCUACUUUUAUAACAAGUUUAUUUAAGUGCAUAACCUCUUGAAGGGGGUGGUAAUAUGUCAUUAUGUAAAUUUAGUUGUGAAUAAGCAAUUUGGAAGGCCAGCUUAAUUAAAUCAGGUCAUAUAAAACACAUGAAUAACUAAUUAAACUAUACAAUAUUAAUAUAUUAAAAGUACAGUUUAGUUAAUUAAUAAUAUCAUACACAAGAGGCAUGUUGAAAUACAUUGAUAUGUUUAAAAGAGUGUUUAGUUGGCUACUAUUGUUGUUAUAUAAUGCAUGUAGACUUGGGUUACAUGUUUUUUUAUAUUUGCACUAUACAGAGAAUGAUGACAAACUGUAAGACUGUAAAAAGUCAUUAGGGAAUAAAUUAAACAACUAAGUUUAUUUUAUAGUCAGUCUUUCACUAUCUUCUGUUUCUAAUUAUGUUUUUAACAUGAUAACGUAUCUACUUAAUGAUGUAUUUUUUAAGUUGUUGGUAUACUUGACCACUAAAGUUUAAGUAUUUUUUGAAUUCAACAAUAUUAAUCACUUUGCCUAUUAUUCUUCUAUCUGAUUUUAAUAUAUGUUUUUUAAUUGUUUUAAUGGGGUGUAUUGAUCAAAAUUGUGUAUAAUUGUUUGCUUUUUGAUUCAGGGGCUGACCUUUUAAUAUUUAAUUUUGUUAUCCCAAUCAAUAUAUGCCUGAAUGCAUGUAUGACUUUGGACACUAGUAACAAUGCUGCUAUAAUAGUACCGUUUAGUGUUGAUUAAUUAAAAGCAGAUAGUAGCAACCUGUUAAACAUAUAAUACUAUUUAUGUUAUAUUUAAAUCAAUAAUAAAGAUUAUACCUUAUCAUCUUCUUUACAGAUUUCGGAAAAAUAUGACCUACUUUAUGGAUCAUUAGCUUCAAAAAUCUCAAAUCAAAGAAAAAAACAGAUAUGGGAAAAUAUAAAAAACAAAGUUAGUUCUGUAGGAGUGGGUCCAAGAACAGUCAUUCAGCUGAAGAAACGAUGGUUGGAUAUUAGACGGCGUACCAAAGAUAAACUGAGUGAUAUAGAGAAAAAAAGAUCAAAAACUGGUGGUGGAGAUGAGAAGGUUACAUCACUGAAUCAAUUUGAAGCCCAAGUAAUGCAAUUUAAUUGAAAGUUCUAACUUUAUAAACAUCCCCGUUUUUUUUGUUUUUUUUAAAAAACAUUUCAAUAUUUAUAUUUGGGAAAGGAAGAGAAGAGGUGCAGGGUAAUAAUAUUAAAUAUCAAUGUUGUAAUAAUUGCAAACAUUAUAAGCUCACAAAUGUUGCCAAAUGGAAUAAAUUAUCUGUCCUAAGUUUUAGUUACAAUUUAGUGAGUUUCAAAAUUUGUAGACUGAACAAGAAUGAAUAAAUGUAUUUAUAUAAUAAUUAGAAUUUUGUGUGUAAAUGUGUCAAAUCUUUCCUUAACAUUUUAACAUAUAGAAAAAUCGGAAUUACAAACAGUUGCUUUUUAAUAACAUUUAUUAUUAAAUCUUUUGUGUUUUGUUAAGGUUCAAGGGACAAUACCUGAAUUAUUAAUUAAAGGUGACUCCAAGUUUGAUAGUAGUGACGUGCAAUCAGUCCGUGAAUAUGCAACUGUAGAAAACAGCAUCAAUGACUUCAUAGAUCUAAGCGAUACAGAAGAUUUUGCAACUUCAUCUAAAAGUCAAAUGUCGAAACCUUCACUUUAUGUAGAUAAUUCAAAGAAAGACAUUCAAAAUGAGCUGCUCAAAAUAUGUCAAGAAGGUAGACCUGCUCAGGAAGAGUGUUUAAAUGUUCUGAAACAAAUACUAUCUGUGUCAAAUGCACAGCUUGAGAUAACAAAAGAAAACAAUGGGUUUUUACAAACAAUCAAUAAAGGUAUAAAAACCAUAGAGUCGGCAUUAGUAGGUUACCUUAAAAUGGAAAGGCAACUAGUGUUCACAGUUGAAACUGACUCAACUGAUUAUAUUAUCGAUAAUCCAACCAAUACAUUCGAGCAACACAUAGGAGAUUUGCCCAGUGAUACAGUUAAUGUGAAUGAAAGCAAGCCUCAAUCUCCAUUAUUGGCACUUGAUUCCAACAGUCAUACAGAUGAAAAUGUAGCUAUAACUGACAACAGUGUCAGCCAACAGAAUGAUGUUUAUAAUGAUAGUUUUAUUGACCAAUGCUCCACAAUUGUCAAAGAGGUUUUGACAAUAGAAACAGCACCUCCCAGGCGUUCAUACCGAAAAAGGAAGUCUAACAACAUUUUAUCAGUGGGUCCAAAAAAAAAAAAAAAAUAUUAAAAAUUGGGAAGGUAUACAUUUUUGUUGUCUUCACUUUUAAAGUUACAUGCCCAAUAUAAAAACUAUAGGUUUACUUACAAAUAUGACAGACAAGUAUGGUGUUUGUUCUUUUCAAAGCAUAUGCAUUGCUCUCUUUAAAUAAGUUUAUGAGCUUCUCUGUUACAUUGUUAAUUUGUUUUUAGAUAGUUCACUAGAAAUGGACAGUUUUUCACGUUUUAAAGGGGUGGUUCACCUUCCAAACACUUUCUUUUCUCAAUUCAGUUGUUUUAGAUUGUUCCC